AAGAAGUGACUGGGUUCUGUGCCAUGUUUCAGAAUAUACCUUAGAAAGGUCAUCAGACUCAGUGUAUCUAGGAGGAGGCUGUUUAGAGUCAUUUUAGGGAUUUUAAAAGAAAAAGGCUUAGUUAUUCUUUAUGAGAUUCGGCAUUAAACUUUCAAGUUAACCAAAAUGCAGGGGUUAUCAUAUCCAAAGCAUCCUGAAUCUCAUUACCCUUACAGAAGGCUGGUUUGCAGUGUGACAACUUUUGUAUUUUCUGGUGGGGCACUACUUUAAGUCAUACCAGGCCCCAAUAUUUUCCCUAAAUAACCACAGACAGAUUCAGCUUUGCCCCUAUCAUAGCUGAGGAGAAGUAUAUACUACCAUAUGUGCUGGAAGAGGUUAACAAUUCUUCUUAGGGCCAGAACUAGGGGUAGGCAAAAGAGGCGGUAGGGAGCAAUAGUGGGGGGGAGCUAGACACAGACCUCUUCUACCUGCCUACUCUCCGUUCUGGCCUGUCAACUUUGGAGCAGGACGGCAUUGGGUACUUCUUGUGCAUGUUGCGAGCGUAGCAGGGAGAGAGGGGAAGAGAUUAUGAGUGGGGGGGCGAAAUGAGUUUAAGACCAAGGCAGGGGGAUGUAGCAGUGUUAGGUGGGAGCAGCUGGGAAAUGUAAUACUGUUUUUAGCUGGUGUUAUUAAUCCAGUGUCCUUUUGUACUUUGUAGGUCGAUAUUCCCAUGAAGACAUUUGGAGCACCCAACCUGUUUGUUUACCAAAUGAUGUCAACUAUAAUGUGGAGGGCACAGUGUCAUGUGUUAUGCGUGAUCCUGCUCCUGCGCAAAAUAGAAAAUAUGAAUUAUAACAGUGGUUUUUCAUGUCCUGAAGUUCAGAACCCAGCUUUUAUUGAGCACCAGUGCCAGCCUACAUGGAAUAUGAGUGCCCCUGUGCCACCAGCUCCUCCCCAGGACCCCCCCCCCCCCCAUGCCCAGCACCUGGGAGCUAGCAAGCUAUCCGUACCUCUCCAGCACCAGAAGUUUGUCCCCCACGUCAGGACUUUUUGGCUCUAUUUGGGCCCCUCGGAACGAUGCCUUUGAUGGCUGCUGCCGGUCAGUGGCUCUCCUCCCCAUUCUGAGCACGUUGGGAAUCACUCAGUUAUGUGCAAGCCGGAGUACUUGCCUAGAUUUAACCCCUUCCAUGCCUACAUGAACCUGGACGUAUGGACAGGAACCGCUAACAGAAAUGCACCUUUCCCAAUUUCGAGAGACUCUGGUAGUUACUCUGGAAACUUGUGAACUGAAUUUGAUCCAAGAAAAUGUGAAUAUUAAUGCUUGCAGUUUUGAACACUAGAGUGAGCAAGUUAUUGUAAUAGAAUACAAUAUUGGUGAAUAUUCUGGCACUUUUUAUAUCAAUAAAUUUUUUUUACUGAA